rnacentral:rRNA from 1 species
GACGAACGCUGGCGGCGUGCUUAACACAUGCAAGUCGAACGGAAAGGCCCUGCUUUUGUGGGGUGCCCGAGUGGCGAACGGGUGAGUAACACGUGAGUAACCUGCCCUUGACUUUGGGAUAACUUCAGGAAACUGGGGCUAAUACCGGAUAGGAGCUCCUGCUGCAUGGUGGGGGUUGGAAAGUUUCGGCGGUUGGGGAUGGACUCGCGGCUUAUCAGCUUGUUGGUGGGGUAGUGGCUUACCAAGGCUUUGACGGGUAGCCGGCCUGAGAGGGUGACCGGCCACAUUGGGACUGAGAUACGGCCCAGACUCCUACGGGAGGCAGCAGUGGGGAAUAUUGCACAAAGGGCGGAAGCCUGAUGCAGCAACGCCGCGUGCGGGAUGACGGCCUUCGGGUUGUAAACCGCUUUCGCCUGUGACGAAGCGUGAGUGACGGUAAUGGGUAAAGAAGCACCGGCUAACUACGUG